AUACUUACCUGGCAGGGGAGAUACCAUGAUCACGAAGGUGGUUUUCCCAGGGCGAGGCUUACCCAUUGCACUCCGGUUGUGCUGACCUCUGCGAUUUCCCCAAAUGUGGGAAACUCGACUGCAUAAUUUGUGGUAGUGGGGGACUGCGUUCGCGCUCUCCCCUG
rnacentral:snRNA from 1 species